AUACUUACCUGGCAGGAGAGAUACCAUGAUCACGAAGGUGGUUUUCCCAGGGCGAGGCUUAUCCAUUGCACUCCGGAUGUGCUGACCCCUGCGAUUUCCCCAAAUGUGGGAAACUCGACUGCAUAAUUUGUGGUAGUGGGGGGAAAAACAAAAACAAAACAAAACAAAACAAAAAAACCCAA
ensembl:snRNA U1 U1 spliceosomal RNA